CCUACGGGAGGCAGCAGUGGGGAAUAUUGCACAAUGGGCGCAAGCCUGAUGCAGCCAUGCCGCGUGUGUGAAGAAGGCCUUCGGGUUGUAAAGCACUUUCAGCGGGGAGGAAGGCGGUGAGGUUAAUAACCUCAUCGAUUGACGUUACCCGCAGAAGAAGCACCGGCUAACUCCGUGCCAGCAGCCGCGGUAAUACGGAGGGUGCAAGCGUUAAUCGGAAUUACUGGGCGUAAAGCGCACGCAGGCGGUCUGUCAAGUCGGAUGUGAAAUCCCCGGGCUCAACCUGGGAACUGCAUUCGAAACUGGCAGGCUAGAGUCUUGGAGAGGGGGGUAGAAUUCCAGGGGUAGCGGUGAAAUGCGUAGAGAUCUGGAGGAAUACCGGUGGCGAAGGCGGCCCCCUGGACAAAGACUGACGCUCAGGUGCGAAAGCGUGGGGAGCAAACAGGAUUAGAUACCCCGGUAGUC
rnacentral:rRNA from 1 species